UAACUGAAAGUAAUGGGGGCUAGGGGCAUGUGUGGUACUUUUUCACUUGCCUUCAUUUCAUUUUUGGAUUGCCUGCCUGGUCUGUCUGUCUGCCUGAGUGCGAGUAAAUCUUCCAGUUUUGACCAUGAGCGCCUACCUUUGGGCUUUCAUCCUGUCGCUCGCCACCUGUGCAGACUCUCUGUCUGCACAGUCUAGAAUCUUCAUGUCUGCCAGAGUGGGUUCCACAGCUGUUCUGCCAUGUGACUGUAGAAAAGUGUCCACCCAAAGUCCUCAUGUUGAGUGGAAAACCAUCUCUGAGAUGGUGUUUGA